UACGGGGGGGGCAAGCGUUGUUCGGAAUUACUGGGCGUAAAGGGUUUGUAGGUGGCUCGCUAAGUCAGACGUGAAAUCCCUCAGCUUAACUGGGGAACUGCGUCUGAAACUGAUGAGCUUGAGUGCAGGAGAGGAACGCGGAAUUCCAGGUGUAGCGGUGAAAUGCGUAGAUAUCCGGAAGAACACCGAUGGCGAAGGCGACCACCUGGGCCUGCACUGACGCUGAGGUACGAAAGCGUGGGGAGCAAACAGG
rnacentral:rRNA from 1 species